rnacentral:rRNA from 1 species
CAGUCGCCGCGGUAAUACAGAGGGUGCGAGCGUUAAUCGGAUUUACUGGGCGUAAAGCGUGCGUAGGCGGCUUCUUAAGUCGGAUGUGAAAUCCCUGAGCUUAACUUAGGAAUUGCAUUCGAUACUGGGAAGCUAGAGUAUGGGAGAGGAUGGUAGAAUUCCAGGUGUAGCGGUGAAAUGCGUAGAGAUCUGGAGGAAUACCGAUGGCGAAGGCAGCCAUCUGGCCUAAUACUGACGCUGAGGUACGAAAGCAUGGGGAGCAAACAGGAUUAGAGACCCCUGUAGUCCCUGUCUCUUAUCA